GGCAGCUGUGGAUCAUGAUCGAGUUCUGUCCUGGGGGAGCUGUGGACGCCAUCAUGCUGGAGCUAGACAGAGGCCUCACGGAGCCCCAGAUUCAGGUGGUUUGCCGCCAGAUGCUGGAAGCCCUCAACUUUCUGCACGGCAAGAAGAUCAUCCACCGGGAUCUGAAAGCUGGCAACGUACUGAUGACCCUCGAGGGAGACAUCA